rnacentral:tRNA from 4 species
UCCGUCUUAGCUCAGUUGGUAGAGCAGCUGACUGUUAAUCAGCGGGUCGCUGGUUCGAGCCCAGCAGACGGAGCCA